UACGAAGGGGGCUAGCGUUGCUCGGAAUCACUGGGCGUAAAGGGUGCGUAGGCGGGUCUUUUAAGUCAGGGGUGAAAUCCUGGAGCUCAACUCCAGAACUGCCUUUGAUACUGAAGAUCUUGAGUUCGGGAGAGGUGAGUGGAACUGCGAGUGUAGAGGUGAAAUUCGUAGAUAUUCGCAAGAACACCAGUGGCGAAGGCGGCUCACUGGCCCGAUACUGACGCUGAGGCACGGAAAGCGUGGGGAGCAACAGG
rnacentral:rRNA from 1 species